rnacentral:ncRNA from 1 species
GGGUGUCACGCUGCGCAGUGCGGCGGGCAGGAAUGCGAUGGUCGGGCCGCCACG